UAUUAUGAAGCCUACCAAGAUUCAUUCAAGGUCUCGUGCUCGUCGUAUGAUGAAGGCGAAGAGGAAGGGUCGUCACUCAGGAUACGAGUCAUCAACCAUUGUGUCAUGGGCUUUGAAGAAAGAGUUGUGGAGCAUGUGAUGUGAAGCAAGAUGAUCAAUCAAGGGCUCUCAGCCUGCAUGCAUUUUCUGAUUUGUCAUGCGUUUCAUCCGUUGUAUUUCUUUUUUUAUUAAAAGAAUCUUAUAUCUAUGGUAGUACUUCUCUGUUGCACAAUAUUAUUAGGUGGUAGUUAAUCACGAUUAUUUCUCAUGUUCUUUACUCUUCUUCAAAUAUUUUUUGUGAACUAACUAUUGUCUUGCGGACUCUUGCCUUUUCCUGUUCUAUUGAGUUACUUCAAAUACUUUAAUCUGUAUCAUACAGGUAGGCGGCAAGUUCAUUUGUUCCUUGCUCUAAAGUUAUGGGCAUCUGAAAUUCUAGUUGUAAUAAAUGCUGAUUAUGUUUUUUUUAUUUUCCUGGAGCAUUCGGUAUAGUGCAUAGUCAUUAGUCAUGCA